rnacentral:rRNA from 1 species
UACGUAGGGGGCAAGCGUUGUCCGGAAUUAUUGGGCGUAAAGAGCGCGUAGGCGGUCCGGUAAGUCGGGUGUGAAAGUCGGGGGCUCAACCCUCGGAUGCCGAUCGAUACUGUCGGGCUAGAGUCCGGAAGAGGCGAGUGGAAUUCCUGGUGUAGCGGUGAAAUGCGCAGAUAUCAGGAGGAACACCAAUGGCGAAGGCAGCUCGCUGGGACGGUACUGACGCUGAGGCGCGAAAGCGUGGGGAGCAAAUGGG